CAUUUUUUACCAGGUUUUCAACAAGUUGGAAUCAUGUUCAUGAGAUAUUGGCUAUGGAAGGCAGGUGGUAGGGCAGUUGGUUUCAAUAACUUAAGUUUGCAUCAACCAAUCAAGCUUGCAUUGAGUCUAGCAUGGGAUGGAAUUUGAGGCAUGUGUUGUGAAAGGGUAACUGUUUCUAAAAAUAGAAAAACAGAAAAUUUAAUAAGUGCAUAAUCAUUCAGUAAAUCUUAUGCAAAUUGAUAGAUGUUUUUUUUUCUUUAUGCAAAUGAUGUCAUAUAUGAUCGUAUUGCCUUAAGAUUUGGUUAUGAAUAUAAUUAUGAUAUUUAUUUUUAGCUCACCUGAGCGAUAGCUCGGGGUGAGCUAUUGUGAUCACUCAGCGUCCGGCGUCCGUCCGUCUGUCUGUAAACAAUUUGUAAACAUCUUCUACUAAACCAUUGAGCCAAUUUCAACUAAAUUUCAUGUGGAGCAUCCCUAGGUCAUGGGACAAAAGAAUUGUUAAAAAAAAAUUGAUCACAUAACCAAGAUGGCCGCCAUGACCAUAUAUGGUAAAAACCUUAAAAAAACUUCUUGUCAGAAACCGCUCAUCAGAUUUUCAAAAAAUUUCACAGGGAUGACCUUUGAAGGCUCCCCUGAAAAAGUUGUUCAAAGAAAUUUGAUUCGUCAAAAAACAUGGCCACAGGAACUCGUUGAACUUUGCAUGUUUAUUCGUUUUUGCCUAUUUUGUGAAAACUUUCAAAAAUCUUCCACAUUUUUUGUCUGAUUCUUUCCAAAUUUGCACAGUGUCUUUAUAUCAAUGAGGACACGAACCCUACAAAAAAAUUAGCAUUAUUGGUCCAUGAAGUACAGAAUUACCUCCCCUUGAAUUGAGAAAAUGGUGUUUAUGCAAUAAAGUCCAAAUUUGUCAUCCAAUUCUUUCCAAACUUGUUUAUAUAUCAGAUUAAAGAGAAUAAAAUUUUCUUUAUUAUGGUUUUUCUUUCAUGAAAAUCCAUAAAGGAUAAGUGUUGUUAAUCGUUGCUUAAUUAAUGAACAAUGCGAAUUAUCGGUAUUGAUUUUUUUUCCUGACAUGCCGUCCCAGAUAUUUACCGCUUUCAGCUUUAGACUGUGCAUCAAUACAUCGCCGUGUUAUUGACCUGAAAAAUUCAUACGCAGUCGGCAUUAACACCGGUCAUCGAGACAAAUUACUGAUGUGAAAACAAAUCAUACAUCGUAGAGGAUUAAAUAAACAAUUACAUCUGAUUAAAGAUUAAAGAUUGCUGCCGAUUUAAAUCAAUUUGAGUACUUUUUGCAUAUAUUUGAUGCCGAAUGGGAAGCUGUGUUUAGACUUAAGUUGAGAAAAAUGGCAACGAGAUAAAUGCCUGUUGGUAGCUAAAGAAACUUCAGCGUACAGUUUAUAAUGGGUGGCCAUUCCCCGCUGUAGUCUACGGGCGGGUAGUGAACUGGUUGAGAAAAGUGGAAGCUUGUGGAAAAGCGGUUUGAGAAGUUUGUAAGAAAACCCUGAAUUAUCAGUCUUGUGGGAAGAAGGCAUUGCGUCUCCACGCAGAGGGCCCUUAUCACAUAAAGAAUAUAAGAACCAUCAAGACCAACCAGGUUUUAUCUGGUUCUUCAAAAGCAACACCUGCAGUCGAGUCCAUGCCAGACAGAGGGUGCAUGUGAAUGAAUUGCCUUUUGACUAACUUUGUGUUCUUUAUCAAAUACAUGAAGAUUUUUAAA